AUUGAACGCUGGCGGCAGGCUUAAAACAUGCAAGUCGAGCGGAGAUGAGGUGCUUGCACCUUAUCUUAGCGGCGGACGGGUGAGUAAUGCUUAGGAAUCCGCCUAUUAGUGGGGGACAACAUUCCGAAAGGAAUGCUAAUACCGCAUACGCCCUACGGGGGAAAGCAGGGGAUCUUCGGACCUUGCGCUAAUAGAUGAGCCUAAGUCGGAUUAGCUAGUUGGUGGGGUAAAGGCCUACCAAGGCGACGAUCUGUAGCGGGUCUGAGAGGAUGAUCCGCCACACUGGGACUGAGACACGGCCCAGACUCCUACGGGAGGCAGCAGUGGGGAAUAUUGGACAAUGGGCGGAAGCCUGAUCCAGCCAUGCCGCGUGUGUGAAGAAGGCCUUUUGGUUGUAAAGCACUUUAAGCGAGGAGGAGGAGCUCUAGGUUAAUACCCUAGAUGCUUGGACGUUACUCGCAGAAUAAGCACCGGCUAACUCUGUGCCAGCCGCCGCCGUAACAC
rnacentral:rRNA from 1 species